rnacentral:lncRNA from 1 species
AUGGGGAAGCUGGGCUGGACUGGUGCUUGGGGGAGGCUGGAGCCUGGUGCUGGGGUGUUCCUGCUCCUGCUCAGAGCUGCUGCUCUGGCCUGGGGCUCUGCAGGGACAUUUCCCCCUUUUCUUCAUUCCUUGGGGGCUCUGCAAGAACAUUUCCUCCUUUCCUUCCUUCCUCAGGGCUCUGCAGGGACAUUUCCUCCUUUUCUUCCUUCCCUGGGGGCUCUGCAGGGACAUUUCCCCCUUCAUUCCUGGGAGGUUCUGCAGGGACAUUUCCUCCUUUCCUUCAUUCCUCAGGGGCUCUGCAGGGAUAUUUCCUCCUCCCUUCCUUCCCUGGGGCUCUGCAGGGACAUUUCCCCCUUUUCUUCAUUCCUUGGGGCUCUGCAGGGACAUUUCCUCCUUUCCUUCCUUCCUGGGAGGUUCUGCAGGGACAUUUCCCCCUUUCCUUCAUUCCUUGGGUUCUACAAGGACAUUUCCUCCUCUCCUUCCCUCCCUGGGCUUGUACAAGGACAUUUUCCUCUUCCUUCCUUGGGGCUCUACAAGGACAUUUCCCCUUUUCCUUCCCUCUCUGGGGGUUCUACAAGGACAUUUCCUCCUCUCCUUCCUUCCUGGGAGGUUCUGCAAGAACAUUUCCUCCUUUCCUUCAUUCCUUGGGGCUCUGCAGGGACAUUUCCUCCUUUCCUUCCUUCCCUGGGGGUUCUACAAGAACAUUUCCCUCUUUCCUUCAUUCCUUGGGUUCUACAAGGACAUUUCCCCUUUUCCUUCCCUCCUGGGGCUCUGCAGGGACAUUUCCUCCUUUCCUUCCUUCCUGGGAGGUUCUGCAGGGACAUUUCCCCCUUUCCUUCAUUCCCUGGGGCUCUGCAGGGACAUUUCCCCGUUUUCUUCAUUCCUCAGGGCUCUGCAGGGACAUUUCCUCCUCUCCUUCCCUUCCUGGGCUUGUACAAGGACAUUUUCCUCUUCCUUCCCUGUGGCUCUGCAGGGACAUUUCCCUUUUCCUUCCCUCUCUGGGGGUUCUACAAGGACAUUUCCCCCUUUCCUUCAUUCCUUGGGGUUCUGCAGGUAGAAAAUGCAGGAAUUUGGAGGAUAAAGGCGGUGCAGGCAGUGCCUGCCCAGGGCACGGGGGGGUUUAGGGAUAAACUGGGGCUGAGGAGGAGCUGGGAUCAUCCUGAUGGAGCUCCCUGGAGGGACAACAACAACAACAACCCCAGGAGAUGCAGACAGGGAACAAAAACCUGCUGGAAAGGUUCAGCUGCUCCAGGCCACGCAGNNNNNNNNNNNNNNNNNNNNAUUUUUUUUGUUGGAAUUUUUGUUUUGUUUCCCUUUUUUUGGUUUUUUUUUUAA